rnacentral:rRNA from 1 species
GUGGGGAAUAUGCACAUGGGCGCAAGCCUGAUGCAGCGACGCCSCKGAGGGAUGACGGCCUUCGGGUGUAAACCUCUUCAGUAGGAAGAAGCGAAAGUGACGGUACCUKCAGAAGAAGCACCGGCUAACUACGUGCCAGCAGCCGCGGUAAUACGUAGGGUGCGAGCGUWUCCGGAAUUAUUGGGCGUAAAGAGCUCGUAGGCGGUUUGUCGCGUCUGUCGUGAAAGUCCGGGGCUUAACCCCGGAUCUGCGGUGGGUACGGGCAGACUAGAGUGCAGUAGGGGAGACUGGAAUUCCUGGUGUAGCGGUGGAAUGCGCAGAUAUCAGGAGGAACACCGAUGGCGAAGGCAGGUCUCUGGGCUGUAACUGACGCUGAGGAGCGAAAGCAUGGGGAGCGAACAGGAUUAGAUACCCUGGUAGUCCAUGCCGUAAACGUUGGGCACUAGGUGUGGGGACCAUUCCACGGUUUCCGCGCCGCAGCUAACGCAUUAAGUGCCCCGCCUGGGGAGUACGGCCGCAAGGCUAAAACUCAAAGGAAUUGACGGGGGCCCGCACAAGCGGCGGAGCAUGCGGAUUAAUUCGAUGCAACGCGAAGAACCUUACCAAGGCUUGACAUGUUCUCGAUCGCCGUAGAGAUACGGUUUCCCCUUUGGGGCGGGUUCACAGGUGGUGCAUGGUUGUCGUCAGCUCGUGUCGUGAGAUGUUGGGUUAAGUCCCGCAACGAGCGCAACCCUCGUUCCAUGUUGCCAGCACGUAAUGGUGGGGACUCAUGGRAGRCUGCCGGGGUCAACUCGGAGGAAGGUGAGGACGACGUCAAAUCAUCAUGCCCCUUAUGUCUUGGGCUUCACGCAUGCUACAAUGGCCGGUACAAUGGGUUGCGAUACUGUGAGGUGGAGCUAAUCCCAAAAAGCCGGUCUCAGUUCGGAUUGGGGUCUGCAACUCGACCCCAUGAAGUCGGAGUCGCUAGUAAUCGCAGAUCAGCAACGCUGCGGUGAAUACGUUCCCGGGCCUUGUACACACCGCCCGUCAAGUCACGAAAGUUGGUAACACCCGAAGCCGGUGGCCUAACCCUUGUGGGGGAGCCCSUCSGAAARGGGGRC